UACGAAGGGGGCUAGCGUUGUUCGGAAUUACUGGGCGUAAAGCGCACGUAGGCGGAUAUUUAAGUCAGGGGUGAAAUCCCGGGGCUCAACCCCGGAACUGCCUUUGAUACUGGGUAUCUUGAGUCCGGAAGAGGUGAGUGGAACUCCUAGUGUAGAGGUGGAAUUCGUAGAUAUUAGGAAGAACACCAGUGGCGAAGGCGGCUCACUGGUCCGGUACUGACGCUGAGGUGCGAAAGCGUGGGGAGCAAACAGG
rnacentral:rRNA from 1 species